CUGAGAGCUUUUACUUAUACUGUAAAUAAGAAUUCCGGCGUGAAUGGCCUUACUUUGCUGGCGUAUUAAUUAAACGCAGGCAUACUAGCCAUAUGUUAUACUAAUAUGGUCAAACAAAUUUAGUCAACAAGGUGGCUUAUGACCACAAACAGAAAGCCUACCCAAUAUUCCAAAUCAUCGGACUACACAUCACAAGACGGACUUUAUUUGUGUGAUGUAAAGUUUGUAAAUGGAGCUACCUUGGCAACAUUCUACCUGGCGGAGAGAGUUCACUACAUGUUACUGGUGAUUGGCCAUGGCUUUAUAUGUUUAAUCGAAAAUAUUUAAAGGCAAGGUGAAUUGUAAAUUCAAAAUAUGAAACCCAGGAACAAGAAUGGCAUUGUCAACUGGAGAUUUAAAUUAGAUAAUGGCCGAGAAAUACUGCAAUAUAGUGGUCAUCUUCUUUCAGUUUAUUGGCUAGUUCACAUUAUCAAUUAUUUGUCUAUAAAUCGCCAGUGGUCAGAAACUGUAGAGCUGGAAAAUUAUGGUUGACAGGUAUUCGGUAGAGUAUGCUGGCCAUAACUUGAAAGUUCAAAGAACUAUGUUUAAUACUGUAAUAAAAAUGUAGAAACUAGGUGAAAGAACAUUCUACUCUGAACUUAUUUGAAUAUGUUAGAACGGCUGUGGUUUAUCAUUAAUACAAACUAUUAUUGUUAUCUAAAAUAUAAUAAUUAUAUCCUCUAAUAUUGUUCCUUAAAGGAGAUGGUCCAUCUGCUUCUAAAUUCUAACAAAGGGUAGCAAAUGAUGACAGCUUCUCGUAUCACCUCUCAGAAAAAUUAUGAGUGCCCACGUUUAAGCACACUUAAUUACUUACAUAAUGCGCUAGUACCAUCCCAAAGCUUACAAAAUAUGAAAUGAAACAAAAUGGGGUUUAACGUCCUACUGUUCUGCAUCGAUUGGUCUAAUGAAAACGGACAGGCAAGAUACAGUGCUGCACUACGGCCUACUCUUAAUAUUGAAUUCUAACUGCUAAGGGUUCUUUUACAUAUUUUGUCCCAACUGAACGACUAUGCGAUGUGCAUUGUCAGACGCUCCGUCCUGCACCACUGGCAAAGGCAAAGGGGGGGGGGGGGCACACCGGAAAGUCCCGGUGAACUUUCUUGGCCAACAUCAGGAUCUAACACGGGACCUCCAGGUUAGCGAGCCUACGCCUUACUCACUAGAGACACCACCAUCCUAAUAAUGCUGAUGAUUUUUAGUAAAUCGGUGAUAUUUACUAUCUUGUGUAACUUUUAGUCGUCUUUUGCCUUUUCCAGUUGAUAUUUGUAAGUUAGGGAUCCGCCGGCGCCAACAUUGCAUGCUAUCUAUAGUGUGGUGUUUCAAAGUUUUCCAUAGUUUUUUGACCUGUCAUCCUUAUUUAUCUAUUGUUAAACGAUAGAAAUAGAUGACCCUCUCCUUUAAAUCUAACAUUUUAUCCCAGCAUUCCACCCUUUUUCAUGAAAUAUUUAAAUAUAAACAGCACCUCUAUGAUUUAUAUAAGGAAAGGGUGUCGAUUUGAUUGGAUUUGAUUGUGUUUUCUGUAUGCAAGAUUAUAUUAGUGAAAAUUCAAUGACCUCUUUCAUCAUCUGCGCCUAAAUUUCCAGUGUAUACUUUACACAGCGGGAUUCUCAGUGUAUGUUACUGUUCUGAUUGAUUGGGUAAAAAAUGUUGUUUUUUUUACUACAGAAGGGGAGUUACCACCCCAUUUUUGUUUGAACUCAACCUUUUUAGUUGAUUUUUAAAAAAAGUUUCGUAUAUUGUAUGCGGAACUACAGCAAUCAUGUUGGUCCAAUACGGCGUAGUUUUAUUGUGUUUACCAUUGCAGAUUUAAUGUAUUACUGAAUAACCCACACUAAAACAUAAUAUACAACAAAUCGACACUAAUCAACGAGGUUCUGUGUUUUUCUAAUAAUGGCAUUACGUGUUUUAUGACGUUAUAUUAUUUUGCUUUAUAAAAUAAAUUUUCCAAUCUUUCUAUAA